rnacentral:rRNA from 1 species
AACAAACGCUGGCGGCGUGCCUAAUACAUGCAAGUCGAACGGGGAAAGCUUUCGGGUGAGUACUAGUGGCGCACGGGUGAGGAACGCGUGGAUAAUCUGCCUUAGAGUGGGGGAUAACUAGUCGAAAGAUUAGCUAAUACCGCAUAAGACCACAGGAGCUGCGGCUCAAGGGGUCAAAGGUUUUUCGCUCUAAGAUGAGUCCGCGUAAGAUUAGCUAGUUGGUGAAGUAACGGCUCAACAAGGCGACGAUCUUUAACUGGUCUGAGAGGAUGAUCAGUCACACUGGAACUGAGACACGGUCAAGACUCCUACGGGAGGCAGCAGUAGGGAAUAUUGCACAAUGGAGGAAACUCUGAUGCAGCGACGUCGCGUGAGUGAUGAAGGCCUUCGGGUCGUAAAGCUCUGUCGCAGGGGAAUAACACAAUGAAUGUACCCUGUAAGAAAGGAUCGGCUAACUUCGUGCCAGCCGCCGCGGUAACAC